UAAAGGAGAGGGUGAAGCGGAGGAGACGAACGAUGGAGCUUGAAGCGCUCGUCAGCAACGGUGGGGCGGAACGGUUGAGGAAGGGAGAACGCCGACGGUUAUUGUCGAGGGAAGUUGAUGAGUCCUUGUGAAGAUGGUGAGAGGAAAGAAAGAUCAAGAAGAAGGUGGGAAGAAGAGGCCAAAAAUCGAGGGGCACGACCCGACCCGACCUGACCCACCGGAAAAUUUCCAAUUAGCUUAGUCAAGGGGACACUUGAAGCCUCGAUAAAGUUUGGAGAAGUCUACCAUCAGGUAAGUAACCAUCUAGAGCAAGUUUUAAGUAAUUUCUUGUAGGAGUUGGUUUGGAUUUUGUGGGCAAAUAAUGUAGCACUGUAUUUAGGAAUGGAUAAAGUUAGUUCAUGGAGGUGGUACUUCCAUAAUGUGUGUGGUUAUAUUUGAUUGUUGUUAUGGUUAUAUAAUUUUGUUGGCAUGAA